UAUAUUUUGAAAAAAUUCUUUUUGUUAAUUUUGCUUUGCACUCAAAAAGACAGUUAAUGGUCCCGCACUAACCGUUGGUCUUUCCCAAGUUCUCUCUUCUCCAACAUAGGAAUCUGCAUGCAGGAAGCCAAGUAUUUCAACCAAAAGCACCAUCCUCUCAUCAUUUUUCUCAAACCCUAAGCUUAAGCCUAAUCUAGAAAUCAAAUUUAUUGAACCCCUUCAUGUCUCUCUUGAAUUUCGUGAGAAAUUUGCAUCUUCAAUUGCCAUAUAUUCACUGACUGGGAUUUUAUUCUAUUAAAUUUGGAUCCACAUUAUUAGCCUCAAUCAUAUGCUAAAAUCUGAAGAUUUAAAAGGUGUUGGUUGAGGUAAAAUAAUUUUUUUUUAAAGGGGGGAAUUUUGGUAAACAAUGUCAAAUUUAUAUGGAGAUUACAAUCAAAAGAUUGAUUAUGUAUUCAAGAUUGUAUUGAUUGGAGAUUCUGCAGUAGGGAAAUCACAGCUUCUGGCUAGAUUUGCUAGGAAUGAAUUUAGCUUGGAUUCAAAAGCUACAAUUGGAGUCGAAUUCCAGACUAAGACUCUGACUAUUGAUCACAAGACCAUCAAGGCACAGAUUUGGGACACCGCUGGCCAAGAAAGGUAUAGAGCAGUAACUAGUGCAUACUAUCGAGGUGCAGUUGGUGCAAUGUUAGUGUACGACUUGACAAAACGUCAAUCAUUUGAUCAUAUGGCUAGAUGGUUGGAGGAACUAAGGGGUCAUGCCGAUAAGAACAUAGUUAUAAUGCUGAUUGGGAACAAAUGUGAUCUAGGGAGUCUUCGAGCAGUACCCAUUGAAGAUGCUCAAGAAUUCGCUGAACGGGAGAAUCUGUUCUUCAUGGAAACAUCAGCCCUUGAAUCCACCAACGUUGAGACUGCAUUUAUGGGAAUAUUAAAAGAAAUUUAUCAAAUUGUUGGCAAGAAAACUCUCACUUCAGAUGAAGGUGCAGAGUACGCAAAGUCACAAUCUCUAAAGGGAACAAGGAUCAUAGUUCCUGGCCAGGAAUCAGAUUCUGGUGGCAGAGGAGGCUGCUGCAUGUCCUCCUCCUGAUCUUUGCUUUCAGGUUUUUAAAACUAUUUUUGGUUCUUAUUGUGUAUUAUUUUCUUGACGAUCUAUUGGAAACAACCUCUCUUAUAAAGCUAGGGAUAAGGUCUGCAUACACUCUACCCUCCCCAGACCCCACUUGUGGGAUUACUCUAGGAUCAAGGACGACAUCUGAUUUGAUGCAAAAGUUAGAAUCAGCUGGACAGUGUAUAAAGAUAGGGUCAAUGGUUUCAAUAUGAUGUUGCAACUUGCAAGUAUGGCAUAAUGCAUUUGGAGUAAAACCUCUAUCAUGAAUAGCUAGCCAGAUGAAGUUUUUAGAGUUUUUAGUUUCCAUAACCAUUUAUAGUUUUGGUUAUGAUUUAUUAUUGUAAUGAGGUGAGACAAUUCUAUAAGAUGAAUUAACACUAA